rnacentral:lncRNA from 1 species
GAAUUUCAGAUAAUUUCUUAAAAGGUCAAAGAAUUGUCAACUCAUGGUCUCAAGGUACCCAUCAUGCUGCUGAAAUGUCCCUCCCCUGUUACUUAAAACUGCCUGGGGGAGGUCCCCCUCUUGUGGCUCAGCAGUAACAUACCUGACUAGUAUCCAUGAGGAUGUGGGUUUGAUUCCCCGGCCUCGCUCAGUGGGUUAAGUAUCCAGCCUUGCCGUGAGCUGUGGUGUAGAUCGCAGACAUGGCUCAGUCCUGGUGUUGCUGUGGCUGUGAUGUAGGCUGGCAGCUGCGGCUCUGAUUUGACCCCUAGCCUUCCAUGUGCUGCAAGUUCAGCCCUUAAAAAACAAAACAAAGCAAAACACACACACACACUGCCUGGGAAGGGAUGUGUCCUGGUGCUCUGAUGGCACAGGGGCACCGUGGCUCAGAAUCCCCCCUGGCCUCUGUCUGCAGAACCACCCUUAGGGCAUCCCUUCCUGGGAUGAGCAUAUGAUUAUGCUGCUGCUUAAUCAUGAUGGGGGUUCCAGGGACAGACUGUGAUUGAGGUGAGGGAGGGCAGAGGACUGGGACCCCGUGACUGCAUUGGGUGGGAGGUGAGGGUUUGGGGCAAUGCUGAGGACAGGUGCACUGAUUUCCCAAGCACAGCACAGUGGGCCUGGAUGAUGCGGAAGGUCAGUGGGAUAAAUGUCUAUUUGGGGUACUACUGAGCCAUACUUGGAUGGGUGUGACCCUGGUCUCACCUGUGCAUGGGGCACCCAGAAGUGCGACUGGUCCACAGAGGCCCUGGAAUCCCCAGACUGUCCUAACAACAGGAUCAAAGUCUUCUCUUGCCCUGGGGAGCAUUGUGUGUUCAUCUGUGCAUUGCCAGAACCUGAGACCACACGAAGCAAGUGUCCUGAGUGAGGGGAUGAAUUCAUGACUGAUCAAGUAUUCGUCAUGACUACCGUGGUCCAAAUCCCAUCUUUCUUUCAGCUACUGCUCAGGGCCACUUCCUCCAGGAAGCCCUCCCUGAAUUCUCCUGCCCACCCUUCUCAGGACUCGGAGAGUGCCAGGGUGUGUGACCAGCGUGGAACUGAUUCCAUAAAUGCUAAGACUACACCUGGCACAAUGCUGGCUGCCUGGCAGGCACCCUGUAAAUUAAAGUGCUACCAGCCAGAACAACCUCAGCCUAUGAGCUAAGCAAGUCUGUACGCCUCCCAUACAAAUGAGAUCACUGAGGCCGAGAGGGGUUAAGCUGCUUGCUUGAAGCAGGAAAUAUCUGGUAAGUGAUAUCUAAUAAAUAGGGGUUUGGGGGGAGAGGGGUUGGGGUA